rnacentral:rRNA from 1 species
UGUUUUCGUAGAUUAUGACGCAAUGUGAUUUCUGCCCAGUGCUUUGAAUGUUAAAGUGAAGAAAUUCAACUAAGCGCAGGUAAACGGCGGGAGUAACUAUGACUCUCUUAAGUUAGCCAAAUGCCUCGUCUUCUAAUUAAAGACGCGCAUGAAUGGAUUAACGAGAUUCUCACUGUCCCUAUCUACUAUCUAGCGAAACCACAGCUAAGGGAACGGGCUUAGCAUUAUCAGCGGGGAAAGAAGACCCUGUUGAGCUUGACUCUAGUCAGACAUUGAGAAAUGACAUGUAGAAUAUAGCAUAGGUGGGAGAGAUUUAAAUAAAAUUUAUUUUAUUAGUAUUCGACUUUGAAAUACCACUGUCUUCAUUGUUGUUUUUCUAUUUAAUAAGGUAAAACAAAGACCUAUUCUAAAUACUAGUAUUUAG